rnacentral:rRNA from 1 species
CUACGGGAGGCAGCAGUGGGGAAUAUUGGACAAUGGGGGCAACCCUGAUCCAGCCAUGCCGCGUGAGUGAAGAAGGCCUUCGGGUUGUAAAGCUCUUUCGACGGGGACGAUGAUGACGGUACCCGUAUAAGAAGCCCCGGCAAACUUCGUGCCAGCAGCCGCGGUAAUACGAAGGGGGCUAGCGUUGUUCGGAAUUACUGGGCGUAAAGCGCACGUAGGCGGUGAUCCAUGUCAGAGGUGAAAUCCCGGAGCUCAACUUCGGAAUUGCCUUUGAAACGGGGUCGCUUGAGUCCGAGAGAGGAUGGCGGAAUUCCUAGUGUAGAGGUGAAAUUCGUAGAUAUUAGGAAGAACACCAGUGGCGAAGGCGGCCAUCUGGCUCGGUACUGACGCUCAGGUGCGAAAGCGUGGGGAGCAAACAGGAUUAGAAACCCCAGUAGUCC